rnacentral:rRNA from 1 species
CCUACGGGUGGCAGCAGUGAGGAAUAUUGGUCAAUGGCCGGAAGUCUGAACCAGCCAAGCCGCGUGAAGGACGAAGGUGCCAAGCAUUGUAAACUUCUUUUGUCAAGGGACAAAAUCAGGCUCGAGAGCCUGACCGAGGGUACUUGAAGAAAAAGCAUCGGCUAACUCCGUGCCAGCAGCCGCGGUAAUACGGAGGAUGCGAGCGUUAUCCGGAUUUAUUGGGUUUAAAGGGUGCGUAGGCGGACGGUUAAGUCAGCGGUAAAAUCCCGGGGCUCAACCCCGGCGAGCCGUUGAAACUGGAUGGCUUGAGAUGUCGAGAGGUAUGCGGAAUGCGGAGUGUAGCGGUGAAAGGCUUAGAUAUUGCGCAGAACACCGAUUGCGAAGGCAGCAUACCGGCGGCGAUCUGACGCUGAGGCACGAAAGCGUGGGUAUUGAACAGGAUUAGAUACCCGUGUAGUC